rnacentral:rRNA from 1 species
UACGUAGGGGACAAGCGUUGUCCGGAAUUAUUGGGCGUAAAGCGCGUGUAGGCGGCCAAGUAAGUCUUACGUGAAAUCCCAGGGCUCAACCCUGGGCCUGCAGUCGAUACGGGCAGGCUAGAGUGCAGUAGGGGAGACUGGAAUUCCUGGUGUAGCGGUGAAAUGCGCAGAUAUCAGGAGGAACACCGGUGGCGAAGGCGGGUCUCUGGGCUGUGAACUGACGCUGAGGAGCGAAAGCGUGGGGAGCGAACAGG